GGUAGUUAAGUCAGAAGUGAAAUCCAAUAGCUCAACUAUUGAACUGCUUUUGAAACUGAUUACCUAGAAUAUGGGAGAGGUAGAUGGAAUUUCUGGUAUAGGGGUAAAAUCCGUAGAGAUCAGAAGGAAUACCGAUUGCGAAGGCGAUCUACUGGAACAUUAUUGACGCUGAGGCAUGAAAGCGUGGGGAGCAAACAGGAUUAGAUACCCUGGUAGUCCACGCCCUAAACGAUGCACACUAGUUGUUGCGAUGCUAGUCAUUGCAGUAAUGCACUUAACAGAUUAAGUGUGCCGCCUGGGGAGUACGGUCGCAAGAUUAAAACUCAAAGGAAUAGACGGGGACCCGCACAAGCGGUGGAGCAUGUGGUUUAAUUCGAAGAUACACGAAGAACCUUACCUGGGCUUGAUAUCCUAAGAAUCCUGUAGAGAUAUGGGAGUGCUAGUUUACUAGAACUUAGAGACAGGUGCUGCACGGCUGUCGUCAGCUCGUGUCGUGAGAUGUUGGGUUAAGUCCCGCAACGAGCGCAACCCUCGUGAUUAGUUGCUAACAGUUCGGCUGAGCACUCUAAUCAGACUGCCUUCGCAAGGAGGAGGAAGGUGAGGACGACGUCAAGUCAUCAUGGCCCUUAUGCCCAGGGCUACACACGUGCUACAAUGGCUAGGACAAAGAGAAGCGAUACUGCGAAGUGGAGCAAAUCUUAAAACCUAGUCUCAGUUCGGAUUGGAGUCUGCAACUCGACUCCAUGAAGCUGGAAU
rnacentral:rRNA from 1 species